UACGUAGGGUGCGAGCGUUAAUCGGAAUUACUGGGCGUAAAGCGUGCGUAGGCGGUUUGCCGUGUCCUGUGUGAAAGCCCCGGGCUCAACCUGGGAAUUGCAUGGGAAACUGGCAGGCUUGAGUGUGGCAGAGGAGGGUGGAAUUCCGCGUGUAGCAGUGAAAUGCGUAGAUAUGCGGAGGAACACCAAUGGCGAAGGCAGUCCCCUGGGCCUGUACUGACGCUCAUGCACGAAAGCGUGGGGAGCAAACAGG
rnacentral:rRNA from 1 species